rnacentral:rRNA from 1 species
AGGACGAACGCUGGCGGCGUGCUUAACACAUGCAAGUCGAGCGGUAAGGCCUUUCGGGGUACACGAGCGGCGAACGGGUGAGUAACACGUGGGUGAUCUGCCCUGCACUUCGGGAUAAGCCUGGGAAACUGGGUCUAAUACCGGAUAUGACCUCAGGUUGCAUGACUUGGGGUGGAAAGAUUUAUCGGUGCAGGAUGGGCCCGCGGCCUAUCAGCUUGUUGGUGGGUAAUGGCCUACCAAGGCGACGACGGGUAGCCGACCUGAGAGGGUGACCGGCCACACUGGGACUGAGACACGGCCCAGACUCCUACGGGAGGCAGCAGUGGGGAAUAUUGCACAAUGGGCGAAAGCCUGAUGCAGCGACGCCGCGUGAGGAUGGACGGUCCUUCGGGUUAGUAAACCUCUUUCAGUCGAGGACGAAGCGACGAAGUGACGUACCUGCAGAAGAGCACCGCUAACGUACGUCGCCAGCACGCCG